CCGGGCACUUACUGCGGCGUCCCAGCCUCUCCUUGGAGGCGGAACCAGUAGUCCAAACCUAGCAAAAGUCGGCAGGACUUUUCUGCUGAGUCGCAGGACUUUUUUGGGUGGAGUGACUCCGAGACCUUUAAGGCGGGCAUAAUGAAUAUUCCCAGGUCCUCCAACCAUUUCUCCUGUUGCUCUACUCAGAAAUCAGCUUGUAUAAGUGCCUUUUGACAUGGCAUCCAAAUGAAACAUACUAUAGACAGAGUUUCACUUUAUGGCCCUCGGUAGAGUGCCGUGGCAUCACACAGCUCACAGCAACCUCCAACUCCUGGGCUUAAGCGAUUCUCCU